AUUAAGGUGGCCGAGUUAGGCAGUAAAUUGUAAAUUUUCUUAUGAAUAUUUUAUUUCUCUUAAUA
rnacentral:tRNA from 1 species